AAAUUAUGGUGCGGGCACUUUAGAAGAAAUUGCUUAAAAUCAUCCCAGGCGUCAUAGAACAAAUCACCAUCUUUUUGUUGCCAAGUUUGAAUUUCUCUUCUCAAUUU